GUGCGUUAGCCUACCUCUGCGAAAAUCAUUAGCGCCGUUUAUGUUUUUUUUUUUUUUUGCAUUAAUUAUCUGAAAUUUUAGGGUUUCUAGCUGUUAUAUUUUUUGCUACUUUCUUGUCUUUUAUUACGUGUUUUGUGGUUUAUGGAAUUUUAGGCUAUUGCUUAAAGAAUGCAAAAUGUAUAUUACAACUCAUUAAUAUUAAUGAAAAUUCGCCUUGUUUCCUAU
rnacentral:lncRNA from 1 species